GUGAACGCUGGCGGAAGGCCUAACACAUGCAAGUCGAACGGCAGCACAGUAAGAGCUUGCUCUUACGGGUGGCGAGUGGCGGACGGGUGAGGAAUACAUCGGAAUCUACUUUUUCGUGGGGGAUAACGUAGGGAAACUUACGCUAAUACCGCAUACGACCUACGGGUGAAAGCAGGGGAUCUUCGGACCUUGCGCGAUUGAAUGAGCCGAUGUCGGAUUAGCUAGUUGGCGGGGUAAAGGCCCACCAAGGCGACGAUCCGUAGCUGGUCUGAGAGGAUGAUCCGCCACACUGGAACUGAGACACGGUCCAGACUCCUACGGGAGGCAGCAGUGGGGAAUAUUGGACAAUGGGCGCAAGCCUGAUCCAGCCAUACCGCGUGGGUGAAGAAGGCCUUCGGGUUGUAAAGCCCUUUUGUUGGGAAAGAAAAGCAGCAGGUUAAUACCCCGCUGUUCUGACGGUACCCAAAGAAUAAGCACCGGCUAACUUCGUG
rnacentral:rRNA from 1 species